AUUGAACGCUGGCGGCAGGCUUAACACAUGCAAGUCGAGCGGGGGAGGUUACUUCGGUAACUGACCUAGCGGCGGACGGGUGAGUAAUGCUUAGGAAUCUGCCUAUUAGUGGGGGACAACAUUCCGAAAGGAAUGCUAAUACCGCAUACGUCCUACGGGGGAAAGCAGGGGAUCUUCGGACAUUGCGCUAAUAGAUGAGCCUAAGUCGGAUUAGCUAGUGGGUGGGGUAAAGGUCUACCAAGGCGACGAUCUGUAGCGGGUCUGCGAGGAUGCUCCGCCACACUGGGACCGAGGCACGGCCCAGAGUCCUACGGGAGGUAGAAGUGGGGAAUAUUGGACAAUGGGCGGAAGCCUGAUCCAGCCAUGCCGCGUGUGUGAAGAAGGCCUUUUGGUUGUAAAGCACUUUAAGCGAGGAGGAGGCUCCUUUAGUUAAUACCUAAAGUGAGUGGACGUUACUCGCAGAAUAAGCACCGGCUAACUCUGUGCCAGCCGCCGCCGUAA
rnacentral:rRNA from 1 species